GAUGGACCGGUUCGUAUAAGCCCAUCCUUCGUGAGGGAACGAACUGUGUGGUCGUGGAAUUCAUGCUGCAAGAUGCAACAACACUUGAGUGUAUGAGGAUAAGCUGAAACACCAGAUGUCACAGAACGCAUGUGUUUAGAAUAUUUCCUGUUUAACUUCAUCAAAUUGAAAUGAGACGCUGCGAGGAGAGGAUAAAAGAAUCCAAGAAUAAGAAGAUGUUGGAUUAUGGAGAUUGUAGAGCUUUACAUUCCAUAUAUCUAUUAGCUCCUAGUGCAUGCUACAACUUCUUCUCUCUAGUUCUUUCAUGAUAUGAUGAAGAGCUUUCAAAACAACAAGACAACCACACCACGAGUAGCUGUUGUGGGUUUCUCCU